GCUUACGGCCAUACCAGCCUGAGCACGCCCGCUCUCGUCUGAUCUCGGAAGCCAAGCAGCUUAGGGCAUGUUAGUACUUGGAUGGGAGACCGUCUGGGAAUACCAGGUGCUGUAAGCAU
rnacentral:rRNA from 1 species